rnacentral:rRNA from 1 species
GAUGAACGCUGGCGGCGUGCCUAAUAGAUGCAAGUCGAGCGAACAGAUGAGGAGCUUGCUCCUCUGACGUUAGCGGCGGACGGGUGAGUAACACGUGGAUAACCUACCUAUAAGACUGGGAUAACUUCGGGAAACCGGAGCUAAUACCGGAUAAUAUAUUGAACCGCAUGGUUCAAUAGUGAAAGACGGUUUUGCUGUCACUUAUAGAUGGAUCCGCGCCGCAUUAGCUAGUUGGUAAGGUAACGGCUUACCAAGGCAACGAUGCGUAGCCGACCUGAGAGGGGGAUCGGCCACACGGGAACUGAGACACGGUCCAGACUCCGACGGGAGGCAGCAGUAGGGAAUCUGCCGCAAGGGGCGAAAGCCUGACGGAGCAACGCCGCGUGAGUGAUGAAGGUCUUCGGAUCGUAAAACGCUGUUAUUAGGGAAGAACAAAUGUGUAAGUAACUAUGCACGUCUUGACGGUACCUAAUCAGAAAGCCACGGCUAACUACGU